UUCAUGCAAUGACUCCAUGGGGUUAGAACACAGGGAGGUCUGAUCACUGGAGAAAUACAGGCACAACCUGAUGAACAGGAUCGUAACACACACUGAAGAGUGACUGUGGCCCACAGCUCAGAGUCCAGGCUCCACUAAGCCCAGGAAUCAAAAAGAUGUUUCCAAAGGGGGGCAGUUACCACAGGGGAAUGCAAGGUUCUGUCACAAAAUCCUAAGGCUCUGUGCGCGACUCACCCACAAGAGCCUUCUGAGGCUCUGAGUAGCACUGUCUUCGGCCACUGAUGACCCCGGCUGUGUGGGACCUUCGGCAGCACACAGUCCCUGUGGACCUACUGAAGGCCCUGGUGUCAUGCUGGCUCGGCCUAUUCAGAACUAGCAGCUGGUGGGGUAACGGACAGGCUGGAGUACAACACCCAAGUGAGGAAUUUGUGCCAUCAAGGUCCAAAGAGGCCCUGUAUUCUUUUUCCCCUGUCGGUGGGGAUGUGCCUUACACCACUGGACGGACCCCCAGAAAUUUCAGGGAGGUGGAAGCCCCAGAAUUUUUGUUGGGCAUUUCCCCCUUAUAAUUUGCAAAUGUUUUAUCUGAAAGUCUGGAAUAAUUGUUUCUUCUCACUUGCUAGUUCAAUCAGCCUAAUGUCAUUAUUUAAAUUUUUCUAUUUUUUUGGUACCAGGGAUCGAACUCGGGUCCUUGCACUCCUAAUGUCAUUACUAUAAUGGGCCAGUGUUAUGUCUUGCUAAAGGAAAAGGUGACCAACGUCUGCAUUAGUUUUCUGAGGCCGCCCUAACAGAGAACCGCACACUGAGUGCCUUAAACAACUGAAAUUUAUUGUCUCUAGUUCUGGAAGUUGGAAGUCCAAGACCAAGCUUUCAGCAGGGUAGGUGCCCUCUGAGGGUGGCAAGGAAGAAUCUAUUCAGGCCUUUCCCCUUGCUUCUGAUCUGCUGGCAAUGUCUGGCAUUCAUAGCUUAUAAAAGCAUUUGCUGGCUGCAUUAGUACCUCGCCUACUCUAGAGUGACCUCAUCUUAGCUAGUUACAUCUGCAACCACCCUGUUCCCACAGGAGAUCGCAGUCAGAGCCAGUGAGGGCUCGGACUUCAACAUGUGGAUCUUUAGGGACACAACUCACCCAGUGAAAUGGUCCUUGGGGUCUAAACGACGAGACAGUUCUGGAGAGCUGACUCACCCCAUGGGGAAAAGCACAGGCCUCUCAGAUUAAAGCAAAGUGCUUUUGGUGGCCUUUAAUAACAGGUAUUAAGACAACGUAUUUGGCAGAUUAACAGCUACACACCAGCUACCAGGGAAUAUGCUAAUUUACUCCAACAAUGACACUGGUCACAAGUCUUACCACCUAGUGAAGCUUGCGAUCCACUGCUAUUUUCCAGGUUCAACAUAUUUUCUGCACAGGCCAAACCAAACAGCCCAGCUGAAUGGCAAGAUGGUGAGAAUGACCACAUCUUCAUCUUUCAGUGUACUCAACUUUGCAAUCCCUCCAGGAAUUACUUUUGGUUGACUAUUUAGGAACAGAUCGUCCUACUUGGCCUUUCCUAGCACAGCAGACUCCACUCUAUAGGCCAGGAAACCAGUGUGACAAGUCAGAUGGUUGGUAAGUGCACCUUUACUAACUAUGCACUGCAGAGAAAUACCUACAUAAUGGGUAUGGGGAAUCACCGGCACAUUUGAAGUGGACCUGGGCUGAAACGCCAAUGAGUAUUUGAAUCUCUACAAGCUCUUAAUGCAAAUGGUAGGCCAUGGUGACAUUUUGAGUCCCUGGAAUUAGUGUCAAUUCAGGGCCAGAGUUUAGUAAUCCCUAAAAAGUCUGAUUAUGUCCACAGAUCCUUUGCGGAAGGCUGGGAGAAAAAACAAAAGUGGGAAUUUCUGGCAGUGCAGGGGUGGGAGGGGUCAUUUCCUCAUUCAAGGAGUUCUAGGUAUGACCAGAACCCCUUUUGAAAAAUGACUGAAAGACCAUGACAGAAGUUAGACUUCUGUUCACUGGACUUAGAACUCUUCUGCUUACACAGAUGAAAUCAGAAUCCACGAGAUGCCCAUCUUUCUCUCCUAUGCACCCCAAGAUUGACUAGGUGACAUCACAGGUUUCUGUGAGUGAGACUACAUGGUUACUGCUUUGACUCCUACUCUUUGGUGAUCACGUGCUGCCAGCUGGCCCUGUCAUCCAAGAUCAACUGCCCCACUGCAGGUACAGAGCCACAUUUCAGGGGCAGCAGUUCCCACUAUAAUUUCUGACCCACAGAGAGGAGAAACCACAGAGAUCCUCAGGCUGCUGGGGCUCUCCUCACAAACAUACUUCUCGGGCACAUUCUACACGAUAAAUCCACUCCAAUUGCCCAACCUCCCUAAGCCCUGCACCUCUUCCUCUACAGUACACCAGGCAGGUCUGGCAGCCGAACUUCAUGUAGCACAGGUCACCUCAUCACCUUACGGUCCAAGCUUUAGCCAACAAUUAACCAAUUACCAUCCCUUCUACCCCCCCCACCCCCAUUAUAACACUGGGGUAUAAGUUCUGGGUCAAUAUCAGUAAAUUUAACCUGACCCAACUUCGUGUUUCUUCCAUCAUUAUCCCAUGCUCUCAUAUCCACGUCCACAUAUAUUCUCAAGAUUUCUCUGUAUAAACUGAAAAAAUCAUGCAGUGUUUUAGGAACGUAGCAUACCUCCUCAAAGGGUCAUACUUUGUAGCUCAUUCUUCAGGAUCGGCUGGACCCACUCUGUUUAUAGGUCUAGAAACGAGGAGGGGUGUUAAGGGUAGGUCCCAGGAGAACCAGCAGUGUCCUGCAAGGCAACUACCUCAAGGGAGGCUGUUCCAGGUUCCUCAUGCAAAGCAGGGUUAACCUUGUUCCAGAGAGGGCGAAGGACUGCUUCUACUCGUAAGAAAGACCGAGCAGAAUUUAGGGCUUAAUAUUGCCAGCUUCAUCAGAAUGUUCCUAUGUGCCCCUAUUCCAAAUCUGGGGCCGCAUCCUUCCCAAUCAAUGUUAUUCUAACAGUACGCACCCUAUGAAGAUGGAAAUGCAACUUGCAUUAUAUAUAAUUCAGCCGCUUACAGGAUGAGACUCUGGGUUUUUAGCAACUUCAGUUCUGAAGCUACAGGAGAGAAGUGUUUUUUUAAGGCUAGACAUAGAAAUUUUCAGGCCAUUUAUGUGGAUCUUGAAGUCCUGAACGCAUGCUUUUCUUUUCUAUUGUAUCAGGCACAGUUAAGAAUAAUAGGCCAAUGUCAUUGUGCUCACUAGUUUUGACAAAAAUGUUCUAAGUUAUCAAAUACAUGAUCACUCAGGCCCUUGCCUUCUUUGAGUAUUUCAGUUGGCAUAUCCAGUGGUGAUAUUUUGCAUAUCUCUAUUCCCAUAUCAUGCCAUGAAUUAUCAAUGUCCUCUUUAUUACUGGAAAUGUCAUUGGAGCCUUUAAAUGUAAAUGGAUUAGAGAACCAAUUUCAAAUACCACAGGACCAAUCAGAAAACUUAUCCUUUAUAUUUUGCACUCUUGGUGCAAAAGUGGUAUUAGUCAGACUGGUCCAGCAAUACAAAACUAUCACACACAGAAAUUGUUUUUUCUUUUUUUUGGUACCAGGGAUUGAACUCGGGUCCUUGCGCUUGUGGGACAGGCAGUGGGCCCAGCAAUACAAAACUAGAUAUACAGACAGAGAGAUGUAGGUAUGUAGAGAUAAGGGUAUAAAUACAAAUAUCUACAACUAAAUCUAGGCAGAUAUACAGAUUGUUAUCAAGGGUAAACUCUUUAAAGUUAACUAAGUGUUGCAGGGUGUGGUGGCACACACCUGUAAUCCCAGCAUUUGGGAGGCUGAGGCAGGAGUACAUAAAUUCAAGGCCAGCCUGAACUACAUAGCCAGAUCCUGUCUCAAAAAGGCAAAAAAUAAAAAGGUCAACUGAGUGUAGAUGUCACUCACAUCUUCAAAAUACCAUCACACCGCCUCGAUUAAUAUUUGAUUAAAUAGCCUGGCCAACUUGAUAUAUAAAAUUAAUUAUGACACAUUGUAAACUUACAAAUUUCUCAACCAAAUAUUACUUUCAACUGUAGGAAAAGCGUUUUAAAGAUUUUUUUUCAGGGCUAGGGAUCAAACCCAGGGGCUUGCAUAUGCUACCACUCAACUACUGAGCUAUAUUAUUCCCAGCUCAGAAAAUAUUUAACAAGAAUAUUUCAUCUACUCUAAAGAGACAACUUUGGUAUGGGAAAUACCUGAAAUGAACAAGACGAAAAGUCCUUCCUCCAAGCCUAUUUGAGGAACAAACGUGACACAAACAUCUUUCCUGCCUCCACAGAACUUCAUCAUUCUUAAACGGUUUGCCUGAAUGGAGGGUGACAGCCCAGAACCACGGAGCGGUUUCGGUACAGCAGGUGCCUCCGACUCCCCACUGGAAAUCGGAGGUGAAGGACAAAGACAGUGUAGCCUCCUCCCUCCAGCCACUGCGUGCCAAAGUCCAGCUACAGACAACGCGCCUGAAGUGUUUGGCGCUAACAGGUCGCGUCUACCUCUCCGAAGUCGGGCUGCCGCGCACCACCAAGGGCAGCCUCGUCGCAAGGCGAGCCACCUCCCACCCGCGGCCCAGCCA